GUUGUGGCUCAGAGGCAGAGCACCUGCCUAGCAUGUGUGAGGCCCUGGGUUCGAUGCUCAGCACAACA
rnacentral:tRNA from 1 species